rnacentral:pre_miRNA from 7 species
GUCUAUAAGCAUGUGUAAGACCCCCUUUCGGGGACCCCCACUCUAGUCUCGGGAGUGAGAGAGCACCCAAAGAAACAUGAGGACCC